rnacentral:rRNA from 1 species
GACGAACCGAGCGAACGUUGUUCGGAAUCACUGGGCUUAAAGGGCGCGUAGGCGGGUUCUCAAGUCCGGGGUGAAAUCCCACAGCUCAACUGUGGAACUGCCUCGGAUACUGGGUGCCUCGAGGGUGGUAGGGGUAUGCGGAACUAUCGGUGGAGCGGUGAAAUGCGUUGAUAUCGAUAGGAACUCCGGUGGCGAAGGCGGCAUACUGGACCACAUCUGACGCUGAGGCGCGAAAGCCAGGGGAACGAACGGG